CACUAAUUGCAGAGAAUACUGACUGAAGAUGUUCUUCCCUACGAGGCCCAUGAGACUGUGUAGGGAUGUGAUUUGAAUAGGACUGUGACUGAACGAGUGGGAUGUUGUUCUUUAUCUAUUUAUGUAUUUUGUUUUGAGGUCGUUGUUCCCCCUCCCCUUUUCCGUAAAGGAAACGUAUUUUCUUCUACAGUUUACUAACCUUACAGUAGGUGGCGGCAGACGCCUUAUAUUUGUGUAUAUGUCAGUAUACCAGAGAACAAGAUGACGCUGAUGCGCCGUCGUAGUUGGGAACAGGAAGUUCCGGGUCGAAACGACAGAACUGUGUUGUUUUGUCGAUAGUGGUUGUGUCCAUUUCAAAUGUAUCAUUGUAGACCGACUCAGAUUAAGUCUGAGGCCGUUGACGUCAACAGUGAGGACAACAGUGAGGACAAACCCAGCCUGCCACUCUCCUCCGUCCAAACCUACAGUUACUGGGUCCUGAUUAUGACAGUGGAGUCCAGUUUGCACUGCAGGAUCCAGAGAUGGCAUCAGUGAAGCUGGAAGACUGCAGUCAGACACUGGAGCUGAAUGUCAACAUUAAAGAUGAAGAAGAGGAGGAGAAGAUUAGGACAGCUGUUAGUCAUGGUAAGAGCUGGUUCUAUCUAUAAGUUAUCUUCAUAUAUUAGACCUCCAUAAGUUAUGACCAGUCUGUCUAUUGCUAGGUUGAAUUCUGUAAUUCUGACAUCACACAUCCCUGAACAACUCAAGACUUCACAGCGAAGCAAAACAUUUAAAAACUUGUAACGCCUGCCUUUGCCCACACAUUGUCUCAAGAACGUUGAACAUGUUUAAUACCCUCAAUCACCAAGUUAGGCAUACCUCAUUUCAAAAUAGGCCAUGGCAUCAUCACUGUCAAUAUUGAAUUAUAAUUUGUUUGCUGCACAGAAUAUCAGAUCUCAACAACGAUUGGAGAAGUGUUGAACAUAACCAGUAGACUACCACAUCCUGAUGAUUUAUAUCUGAUACAUAUAUAUUUAAUAUGUCAAGUUGUAGAAACAUCUCAAGGAUGAUCAAUGGAAACAGGAUGCAUCUGAACUGAAUUUUGAGUCUAUCUUGUUUUUCAGUUUUUUUAAAUUCAAAAUUUCUAAACCUGUUUUAGCUUUGUCAUUAUGGGGUAUUGUGUGUAGUCUGCAGAGGAUAUGUUUUUAUUUAAUUUUAGAAUAAGGCUGUAACAUAUCAAUGUGGAAAAAGUCAAGGGGUCUGAAUACUUUCCGAGGGCACUGUCAGACCCCUUCCCAUUUCUCCCAUUUUGGUACGUUACAGCCUUCUUCUAAAAUUGAUGUUUUUCCUCGUCAAUCUACACAAAAUACCCCAUAAUGACAAAGCCAAAACAGGUUUUUAGAAAUUCUUGCAAAUGUAAAAAACUAAAACAAUGAUAAGAAUUGCUUAUUUACGUGAGUUUUCAGACCCUUUGCUAUGAGAUGAUCCUUGAGAUGUUUCUACAACUUGCAGUCCACCUGUGGUAAAUUCAAUUGAUUGGACAUGAUUUAGACAGGCACACACCUGUCUAUGUAAGGUCCCACAGUUGACAGUGGAUGUCAAAUUAAAAACCAAGUCAUGAGGUGGAAGGAUUUGUCCGUCGAGCUUCGGGACAGGAUUGUGUCGGCACAGAAAUGGGGACCGAUACCAAAAUCUUUCUGCAGCAUUGAAGGUCCCCAAGAACACAGAGGCCUCCAUCAUUCUUCAAUGGAAGAAGUUUGGAACCACCAAGACUCUUCCUAGAGCUGGCCACCCGGCCAAUCUGAGCAAUCGGGGGAGAAGGGCCUUGGUCAGGGAGGUGGCCAAGAACCCGAUGGUCACUCCGACAGAGCUCCAGAGUUCCUCUAUGGAGAUGAGAGAAUCUUCCAGAAGGACAACCAUCUCUGCAGGACUCCACUAAUCAUGCCUUUAUGGUAGAGUGCCCAGACAGAAGCCACUCAUCAGUAAAAGGCACAGGACAGUCCGCCUGGAGUUUGUCAAAUUGCACCUAAAGGAUUCUGACCAUGAGAAACAAGAUUCUCUGGUCCGAUGAAACCAAGAUUGAACUCUUUGGCCUGAAUGCCAAGCGUCAUGUCUGGAGCAAACCUGGCACCAUCCCUAUGGCGAAGCAUGGUGGUGGCAGCAGCAUGCUGUGGGGAUAUUUUCAGUGGCAGGGACUGUGUGACUAGUCAGGAUCAAGGGACAGAUGAACGUAGCAAAGUAUAGAGAGAUCCUUUAUGAAAACCAACUUGAGAGCUGUC
rnacentral:lncRNA from 1 species